rnacentral:rRNA from 1 species
AGCGAACGCUGGCGGCAGGCCUAACACAUGCAAGUCGAACGAACUCUUCGGAGUUAGUGGCGGACGGGUGAGUAACACGUGGGAACGUGCCUUUUGGUUCGGAAUAACUCAGGGAAACUUGUGCUAAUACCGAAUGUGCCCUUCGGGGGAAAGAUUUAUCGCCAUUAGAGCGGCCCGCGUCUGAUUAGCUAGUUGGUGAGGUAACGGCUCACCAAGGCGACGAUCAGUAGCUGGUCUGAGAGGAUGACCAGCCACACUGGGACUGAGACACGGCCCAGACUCCGACGGGAGGCAGCAGUGGGGAAUCUUGCGCAAUGGGCGAAAGCCUGACGCAGCCAUGCCGCGUGAAUGAUGAAGGUCUUAGGAUUGUAAAAUUCUUUCACCGGGGACGAUAAUGACGGUACCCGGAGAAGAAGCCCCGGCUAACUUCG